GAUGGGCAAAACGAGUGAGGAGGCAAGAGAAACAGAAGCACUGCAGAGGGACUUUGAAAGACAGAGAGAGACAGAAAGAAAGUACCAUCAGGAGAGACAAGAGGAGGAAGAGAGACAGAAAGAGAUGGAGCUAAAGAUGGAUGCAGCAAAACACAAAGAAGAGCGUCAGAGGGACAUUGAGAGUUUUGACGAGCUUGCAGAACAUCGAGAGAUUGAGAUGAAGGGAGAACAGCUGACAGGGAGAGGAAAGAGAAAGGACAAAAAGAAAUGGAGAGAGCAAAGGAGGAGGCCAGACAAGAAGAAGACCUGCAGAGGGAAGUUAAGAGACUGAAAGAGACUGAAAGACAGCAAGAACAGGAGAGACGAGAGAAGGAGAUGGAGAGACAGAGAGAACUAGAAAGAGAAAGGGAAGAUGCAAGAGAAAAAGAAGCACUGAAAAGGGAAGUUGAAAGACUUGUAGAGAUGGAGAGACAGAAUGAGACUGAAAGACAGCAAGAACAAGAGAGACGAGAGAGGGAGAGACAAAAAGAACUAGAAAGAGAGAGGGAGGACGCAAGACAAAAAGAGGAUAUUGAAAAAGAACUUGAAAGACAAAAGAAAAUUGACAGAAAGGCCAAACUGGAGAUGGAGGGUGCAAGAGAAAAAGAAGUGCUGAAAAGGGAAGUUGAAAGACUUGAAGAGAUGGAGAGACGAGAGAAGGAGAGGGAGAGACAGAGAGAACUAGAAAGAGAGAGUGAGGACGCAAGACAAAAACAGGUUCUUCAGAAGGAAAUUGAAAGACUUGAAGAGAAUGCAAGGCAAAGAGAGAAUGAAAGUCAACAAGAUAAAAUGAGACGAGAAAAGGAGGAAGAGAGACAAAAACAGAUGGACAAAACGAGUGAGGAGGCAAGAGAAACAGAAGCACUGCAGAGGGACCUUGAAAGACCGAGAGAGACAAAAAGAAAGUACCAUCAGGAGAGACAAGAGGAGGAAGAGAGACAGAAAGAGAUGGAGCUAAAGAUGGAUGCAGCAAAACACAAAGAAGAGCGUCAGAGGGACAUUGAGAGAUUUGACGGGCUUGCAGAACAUCGAGGGAUUGAGAUGAAGGGAGAACGGCUGACGGGGGAGAGGAAAGAGAAAAGACGAAAAGAAAUGGAGAGAGCAAAGGAGGAGGCCAGACAAGAAGAAGACCUGCAGAGGGAAGUUAAGAGACUGAAAGACAAUGAGAGACUGCAAGAACAGGACAGACAAGAGAAGGAGGAAGAGAGACAGAAAGAACUAGAAAGAGAGAGUGAGGCAGCAAGACAAAAACAGGAUUUUCGGAAGGAAUUUGAAAGACUUGAAGAGAAUGCAAGGCAAAGAGAGAAUGAAAGUCAACCAGAUAAAAUGAGACUAGAAAAGGAGGAAGAGAGACAAAAACAGAUGGACAAAACGAGUGAGGAGGCAAGAGAAACAGAAGCACUGCAGAGGGACCUUGAAAGACCGAGAGAGACAAAAAUAAAGUACCAUCAGGAGAGACAAGAGGAGGAAGAGAGACAGAAAGAGAUGGAGCUAAAGAUGGAUGCAGCAAAACACAAAGAAGAGCGUCAGAGGGACAUUGAGAGAUUUGACGGGCUUGCAGAACAUCGAGGGAUUGAGAUGAAGGGAGAACGGCUGACGGGGGAGAGGAAAGAGAAAAGACAAAAAGAAAUGGAGAGAGCAAAGGAGGAGGCCAGACAAGAAGAAGACCUGCAGAGGGAAGUUAAGAGACUGAAAGACAAUGAGAGACUGCAAGAACAGGACAGACAAGAGAAGGAGGAGGAAGAGAGACAGAAAGAACUAGAGAGAGAGAGGGAGGAGGAGAGACACAAAGCAGACCUGCAGAGGGAACUUGAAAAAAAGGGUGAAAUCCAAGAAGAGCAGCGGACUGAAGCAGAGGACCACAGACUUGCCAUGGAGACAGAGCAACAACAAGCGGUCACUGAGGAAGAAAGGGGUGAGGUUGGAGAAAUAGAACAAUCUGAGCAAGACAGCGAGCAGGAAAGGAAAAGGCUGGAGACGGAAAGCCAAGAGGAGGAGAGAAAAAAAGAGAUGGAAAUAAAAAUGGAGGACAGGAGGCAGAGAGAAGAGAAUAGAAAAGCCAUGGAGCUGAGAUGGAGACAAAAAGGAGACAGGAGAUGGAAAGAGAAAGAACUGAAGAGACAGAAAGAGCUUGAGAAAAAGUCAGAGGAAGAGGUAAAACAACAUGAGGAGAAAGGAAACGAGGAGAAAGAGAGGAAGGAGGAGGAAAUGAAGAGACUAAGAGAGAGGGACAAAACCCAGUUGGCCAAGUUAUAUGAUAUGAAAGAAAAAGCUGCAGAUAACUUUUGGCUCCAAACAACAUUGGACAAGCAAAUAGAGUUAGUUAAAGAUAGGGAGAGAAUUAUGAGAGAGGAUGAGAAAAUGAAAGAAUCAGAGAAGAGAUGGGAGGAGGAGGAAAGACAACGGCAGGAAUGCGGACAACAGUCAGAUGAGGCAACACGACAGUGGCAGGAGAAGCAUAGACUAGCAGUCAUGAGGAGAAAGGAGAAAGAGAAUAGGAGAGCCAUCGAGGAAAGGAGUCAGUACAGGAGAGAAGAGGAGCAGAGAAAAAAGGAGAUGGAACAAGAAAUGAAGAGGGAAGAGAAACGUAAGGAGGAGAGAAUAGCAGAUACCAAGGAGGAUUGCACAGUAGUAAAGGAGGACGAUGCAGAAAUGAAACAGAAAAGCAGAGAGAAGGUUAAGAAUGCGUGGGAGCCAGAAAAGGAAGUGACAGAGAAGGAAGUGACAGAAAAGGAAGUGACAGAGAAGGAAGUGACAGAGAAGGAAGUGACAGAGAAGAAAGUGACAGAGAAGGACGUGUCAGAGAAGGAAGUGACAGAGAAGAAAGUGACAGAGAAGGACGUGUCAGAGAAGGAAGUGACAGAGAAGGAAGUGACAGAGAAGGAAGUGUCAGAGAUAAAGAAGGAGAAGAAACAUGGUUUCUUGAGCCAGUUCUGGCAGAAGGUAAAACCAAAAAAGAAGGCAACAAAAGAGGAGAAAAAAAGAGCCAGACUGGCUGAGAUUGAAGCGUAUGUGGACAAACUGAACAAGGAGGCCGACCGUAACAUACAGGCCUUUGAGGAUGAGUAGUCUACACCUUCAGUUGGGGCCUCAGAUCAGUCAUGGCGACCGCCUGGAGGGAAAUCAACAUAGGCUCUAUAUCGUGUCUAGAAGGAUGGACGACAUUCUGCUGCUGACCUUGAUCAACAGGAACUCUACAACCUUUCCACUACAUCUACAGAAUUUUCCUCAAACAUGAACCUUAUCAACCUUGAACCAAUGAAUCUUAAUAAAGUUGAUGUUUUGACCACAUGCUUCUACAGUGCCAUGUUGAUUCAAAG